GUGCCUCGCAACUAUUGCUAGGUCUUCAGUGAAGUCUGUUGGAAGGGUAGAACUACUACAGAAAGCAACAAGAUGAUUUUGAAAUUUCAGAGUGAGAAACCAAGAACAUUUAAGGAACUAGCUGAUAAAGUAUGUUCUGCACAUCAGUGUCAUGUUUUUCAUCCAGCCUUACUAUGAACUUCUCUGGCUGCUCAGAUUGUAAAAAUUAAGUAGACAUACAUUAUUUUCAAUCUCCUUCAGCUGUAGCAUAUCACUAUGAACAUGUUUAUGUGUAAGCUUCUACAAAAGCUUUCAAGAUUCCUGGUUUAACAAUGAAUGUGUUUCACUGAUUGAUA